rnacentral:tRNA from 1 species
GGGCCGGUAGAUCAGCGGAAGAUCGCUUGCUUCGCAAGCAAGAGGCCACGGGUUCAAAAACGCUGGUGUUGCCUCCGCCCCA